UCAAUAAGCGGAGGAAAAGAAACUAACAAGGAUUCCCCUAGUAGCGGCGAGCGAAGCGGGAAGAGCUCAAAUUUAUAAUCUGGCACCUUCGGUGUCCGAGUUGUAAUCUCUAGAAAUGUUUUCCGCGUUGGACCGCACACAAGUCUGUUGGAAUACAGCGGCAUAGUGGUGAGACCCCCGUAUAUGGUGCGGACGCCCAGCGCUUUGUGAUACAUUUUCGAAGAGUCGAGUUGUUUGGGAAUGCAGCUCAAAUUGGGUGGUAAAUUCCAUCUAAAGCUAAAUAUUGGCGAGAGACCGAUAGCGAACAAGUACCGUGAGGGAAAGAUGAAAAGCACUUUGGAAAGAGAGUUAACAGUACGUGAAAUUGUUGGAAGGGAAACGCUUGAAGUCAGACUUGCUUGCUGAGCAAUCGGUUUGCAGGCCAGCAUCAGUUUUCCGGGAUGGAUAAUGGUAGAGAGAAGGUAGCAGUUUCGGCUGUGUUAUAGCUCUCUGCUGGAUACAUCUUGGGGGACUGAGGAACGCAGUGUGCCUUUGGCGGGGGUUUCGACCUCUUCACACUUAGGAUGCUGGUGGAAUGGC
rnacentral:rRNA from 1 species